GAGUCGGUGUCCGAGUGGUUAAAGGAGACGGAUUGUAAAUCCGUUGUAUUCUACUACGUUGGUUCAAAUCCAACUCGACUCA
rnacentral:tRNA from 1 species